UUGGGGAAUAUUCCGCAAUGGGCGAAAGCCUGACGGAGCAACGCCGCGUGAGGGAUGAAGGCCUCUGGGCUGUAAACCUCUUUUAUCAAGGAAGAAGAUCUGACGGUACUUGAUGAAUAAGCCACGGCUAAUUCCGUGCCAACA
rnacentral:rRNA from 1 species